rnacentral:lncRNA from 1 species
UUUCCAGCAGGAUUGAGUACUUGGUGAGCAUCCUCUUCCUGGUCUACAGAGUACUGUGUUACUUAAGUGGAAAAAGUAGGGUGAGCUGGUUCUCUGGCCUCCUCUUUUAGGGGACUAAUCUCAUUCAUGAGGGCUCCACCCUCAUGACCUAGUUACCUCCCAAAGGCUCCAUCUCCAAAUACCAUCACAAUGGGGAUUAGAUUUCAACAUAGGAAUUUUGGGAGGACACAAACAUUCAGUCCAUAACACCAAGUAUAGUCUACAAGGAGCACAACUGCCCUUGGGAUAAGAAUAAUAGUAAUAGCUAACAUAUAUGGAGUACUUUAAGAAAGACAGUCUACCAACACUCGACAUACAUUAUCUAACUUAAUCUCUGAGACUCUAUGAGGUAACUACUAUUAUUGUUUUAAAUAAAAGGGUAUCAAAACCUUGACAGGUCAACUAACUUUUCCAAGUAGCAUCUAGUAAAUGGAACAGCUAAGCUAGAUUUGUUGGAUUCCAAAGCUCCAGCUUUUAGCCAAACCCUCUAUAGAUCUACAUAUUAUUAUUUUUUGUUUCCCAGUCAUGAGAAAUUCCAUUGUAAAUAAAUACGCUUCCACUUGA